GAACAAAUGUGGCACAGUGGUUUGAGUGUUGGAGUGCGAAUCUGGAGACCAGGGUUCGAUUCCCAGCUCGGCCA